rnacentral:rRNA from 1 species
CGCAACCCUUGAUCUUAGUUGCCAGCAUUCAGUUGGGCACUCUAAGGUGACUGCCGGUGACAAACCGGAGGAAGGUGGGGAUGACGUCAAAUCAUCAUGCCCCUUAUGACCUGGGCUACACACGUGCUACAAUGGACGAUACAAAGGGCUGCAAACCCGCGAGGGGGAGCCAAUCCCAUAAAAUCGUUCUCAGUUCGGAUUGUAGGCUGCAACUCGCCUACAUGAAGCCGGAAUCGCUAGUAAUCGCGGAUCAGCAUGCCGCGGUGAAUACGUUCCCGGGCCUUGUACACACCGCCCGUCACACCACGAGAGUUUGUAACACCGGAAGUCGGUGAGGUAAC